rnacentral:misc_RNA from 1 species
GCAUACGCGGGCUCACGCAGCUGCUCACUUGUUUGGUUGGCCCGCCUGCCGCUCCUCCUCGUGCACACCUCCCCCUUUUAUCCUGUCUCUCUCACUCGCUGUAGACGUCUGCUCACGUGCUUUCUCUCCCCCAUCUGCCGUAUGCAUGUGUGUGCAUGCGUGUGUGUGCCCGCGUCUGCGUCCCUACACGCGUACGUCCGUCCGCACGUGCACCGCCAUCUCCACAGGCGCACUGCUGCAGCGGCGCACUCAGCUCGAGUGCUAGCGAAGAUUCUUUUUUACUCUUUAGUCGUUGCCUCACACACACUCACGCAGACGGUGUGUGUGCGUGUGUGGCCGAGGCAUUGGUGUAGGUGCGCAUCGAGCAACGGGUACGCGUAGACGGCGAGGGUUCAGUUGUUUGGUUAGACAACGUGCAGUGGCACCAAUGCCGCGGCCGAAGAAGGGCGGCGGGCGAGGGAAGGUCGUGAAGAAUAUCUGGGACAUCGCCGACUUACAGGCGGCGGCCCUGGGAAACAGCGGCAGAGGCGGGGCUGGUGAGCGCCCGUCCACCGCCACCACCGCGGCGACCUAUCGCCGCCCACGGCCGGUGCGGCAUGUCGACCCCGCCGUGCUGAGGCGCGCCUUCAUGCUGCAGAACUUCCAGUUCAUCCUUCGCGCCGAGCUGCUGACGAUCACGUCCACGCAGGGGCUGCCUCAGGGCCAGCGCCGGCUGAUGGAGUGCAUCCAGCUCAGCGACAGCCUCGUGCCGUGGGAGGUGGUGCACUCGGUCGUCAUGCGGGCCACUCCUGAGGAGUUCCAGUGCCCCAUCUGCAUGGAAAUGCCGACAGCACCGCGCAUCACGGAGUGCGGGCACGUCUACUGCCUCCCGUGCAUCCUACAGUACAUGAGCCGCCAGAAGGCGGCCGGCGCGCAGCGCAAGUGCCCGAUGUGCCACGACCUUCUCACGCCCUACACGCUGCGCCCCUGCGUGCUGCAGUCGGUGCAGCCGCGGAGGGUCGGCGCGCAGGCCCGCUUUGACCUCUUCAAGCGGCACCGCAACUCGUGCGUGCUGCGCCGCUCCGACGACCCCUUUCUGGCGGCACCGCCGCCGCCGUCCUCGGCGAAGGCCGUAGCGAUCCACCUCCCAGCCUACAUGGAGCCGAUGUCGUGCCAGAGUCGGUACGUGAUGACAACCCCGCAGUACGAGGCGGGGCAGCGCUACGCCGACUGCGCCGGUAUUUCGGAGCGGAUGCGCGAGCUGGAGCAGCUGACGCAGCCGCUGAGCGAGUCCGACGCGGAGGUGGAGCGAUUCUUGCUAGAGGCGCUGAACGAGGUGACCAAGGAGCCGAAGGGGCUGCCGCCGUCGAUGCUGCGCAACUCGCCGCCCAUGGCCCCGCGCCCCGUCACGACUCCGGAGGGCGAGGGCGACCACCUCGAGCUGUACGCCGACGGAGAAGGGCAGCCGUACUACCUGCACAUGUUGACCGUGAAGAUGCUCAAGCACGAUGCGAAGCUGCGCAACGCCGUACUGCCCGACACGGUCACCGGCAUGAUUGAGGAGGUUGUCACGAUGGAGCAGACGGAGGAGACGCGCCGCAUCUACAAGGUCUUUUCGCACGUCCCACUGCACGGCAUGAUCAAGCUGUGCGUCGUCAACGUGGAUCAUCUCGUCCUGCCGGAGACCCGCGCCGCUUUUGCCGCCGCGCUGCAGAGGAUGGCGAGCGACAGGGCGCAGCGCCGACACCGCGACGACCGCGCCGCCAGCGAGGAUGCGUCGUGGAAGCAGUACUUGAUGAGGUACAGCAACCGCAGCGGUGACUGCCUGGGCUUCUCGCCGGACACGGCGCCGUCGGACUUCUCCAUUGACACGGAGAGCCUGCCGUACCUGAAGCUCCCCUCGACGGGCUCCGCGGGCAGCGACCACGGGCUGCCGCCCAACACGCUCGACACGCGCCAGCGUGCCACCAAGCGACAGGAUAUGCAGUCGCUGCUCGUCGACUCGGCCGUGGAGCCUCCGUCACGCGGCGACACAGCAACGGCGAAGACCUCCAGCACCAUGGCGGCCGGCUGCUGGGCUCAGGGGAGUGCGACCAAGCUCUUUGCCAAGGCGGAGCGGAAGGAGGCGACGAAAUCGACGUGGGGCGGACACGUGUUCAGCCCCAAGUAGUCCUCGUCCCUCAGGUGGGAGGGUGACGACCCUCGCUGCCGGCUUCUCUGUGCGUCUCUCCAGGUGCACUUGCGUGCAUCACUGCCGCACCCAGCCGUACGCACGCGCGCACACGCGCGUAGGCGCAUGCGAAUGCGUGUAAUGGGAUGAAGGUGACUCGUGCCGCGUGAGGUGCAGCGUCCACUGCUGUGUGAGGGCCUGUGUGGAGGGUGGUGCAGGGCGGGAGUGGGGCGAGUGGGAGACGGCUCGGUGGCACAACGGCGUUUCUGUCGUCAGCGAUGCAGCACUCCUUUCAUUCCCCUGCCCCGCUCUUCAUACGUGUGCUCUGUAUGCCAACGGCGCCUUGCGUUGUCUGUUUCUCUGCGCGCGCACACGCAGAGAUACAAGCACAGCGGUGCUCCGGCUCUCUGCCCCCCUCCGAGUUGUUCCACAUCGGCCUGUCGCUGUCCUUCUCUGCUCUGCACCUCUUGCUUCCCUUUCCUCUCCGUUUUCGAACCCGGGCUGACGGCCGCCCCGCACUGUGUGAUGGGUGGCGCACGUGCGCGUGCGCGUGUGCUGGCGGAGUUUAUUCGAAUUUCAAGCAACGCAAGUUAAGAGAAGAUGACGCGGCGCUCACCGCGCUUGGCUCCCCCUGUGUGUGUGUGUCUCUGUCUGCAUCAGUGAGAUGCUCACUGGUGCUCGCUCUCGCUCUGUCUCACCGCC